rnacentral:misc_RNA from 1 species
GAUGAAGAACGCAGCGAAAUGCGAUAAGUAAUGUGAAUUGCAGAAUUCAGUGAAUCAUCGAAUCUUUGAACGCACAUUGCGCCCUCUGGUAUUCCGGGGGGCAUGCCUGUUCGAGCGUCAUUAUAACCACUCAAGCUCUCGCUUGGUAUUGGGGUUCGCGGUUCCGCGGCCCCUAAAUUCAGUGGCGGUGCCUGUCGGCUCUACGCGUAGUAAUACUCCUCGCGAUUGAGUCCGGUAGGUCUACUUGCCAGCAACCCCCAAUUUUUACAGGUUGACCUCGGAUCAGGUAGGGAUACCCGCUGAACUUAAGCAUAUCAAUAAGCGGAGGA